rnacentral:misc_RNA from 1 species
AAAAAUUUAAUUGCAUUCUUUCCUUACAAAUAAUUUAUUCCAACAGAAGCCAUUAAAUAAAAAGGGUUCAGAAAUUUCAAAAGGAACUGUCAACCAAACAAAACGCACUCCAUCCCACCAUGCAAUUAAGCUUUACAACAAUAUCUCAAGUAUAUGAGGUUCAACCUAUACAAUUUGUCAACAGGAGAAGUAAUUAGAAAACACAGGACCUGCUGAAUACUUCAGUUGUCACCUUUGCCCUUAGCUCCAGACUGAAAUUCUUCACAGCAGCUGCAAAUUACACUUCAAUAACCAGGUCAGAUUCCUUCAAACAAAUUAAAAACAAUUUUAGGUUAGUGACAUAUGUUAAGUACUAAAUUGAAAGUCUAGAAUAGAGAAUCAGGGCCACAGAUCUGUGACUUAAGAAACAAGGGUAGAGAGGGGGUGAGGGAAUCAAUGAAGACAUUUGCAAGUGAAAUGAUCAGAAGCCAAAAGAAACCACAACCAUGAAUUAUAUUUAUGCAAGCACAAUGAAUGAACAUGUCUGGGUGAGGGUUUUCCUAGAUCAGCCCACUAGGCUCGUGAACUAUUGAGUACAACUUUCUUUCCAACACUCAAAACAUAAACCCUCACAGAAAAAAAAAAAAAAAAAAA